rnacentral:rRNA from 1 species
UACGUAGGGGGCAAGCGUUGUCCAGAUUUAUUGGGCGUAAAGCGCGUGUAGGCGGCCACACAGGUCCGCUGUGAAAACUCGAGGCUCAACCUCGAGCUGUCGGUGGAAACCGUGUGGCUAGAGUCCGGAAGAGGAGACUGGAAUUCCCGGUGUAGCGGUGGAAUGCGCAGAUAUCGGGAGGAACACCCGUGGCGAAGGCGGGUCUCUGGGACGGUACUGACGCUGAGACGCGAAAGCGUGGGGAGCGAACAGG